rnacentral:rRNA from 1 species
GACGAACGCUGGCGGCGUGCUUAACACAUGCCAGUCGAACGGAAAGGCCCUGCUUUUGUGGGGUGCUCGAGUGGCGAACGGGUGAGUAACACGUGAGUAACCUGCCCUUGACUUUGGGAUAACUUCAGGAAACUGGGGCUAAUACCGGAUAGGAGCUCCUGCUGCAUGGUGGGGGUUGGAAAGUUUCGGCGGUUGGGGAUGGACUCGCGGCUUAUCAGCUUGUUGGUGGGGUGGUGGCUUACCAAGGCUUUGACGGGUAGCCGGCCUGAGAGGGUGACCGGCCACAUUGGGACUGAGAUACGGCCCAGACUCCUACGGGAGGCAGCAGUGGGGAAUAUUGCACAAUGGGCGGAAGCCUGAUGCAGCAACGCCGCGUGCGGGAUGACGGCCUUCGGGUUGUAAACCGCUUUCGCCUGUGACGAAGCGUGAGUGACGGUAAUGGGGAAAGAAGCACCGGCUAACUACGU